GGGCAUAUGGAAGUUCCCAGGCUAGGGGUCAAAUCGGAGCUGCAGCUGCCGGCCACACCCACAGCCAGAAAGGAUCUGUGCUGUGUCCGUGACCUACCCCACAGGUCACGGCAAUGCUGAAUCCCUGAUGCACUGAGCAAGGCCAGGGAUGGAACCCACAUCCUCAUGGAUGCUAGUUGGAUUCAUUUCUGCUGGGCCACAAUGGAAACUCCAACUAGUUCUUUUUCUUAGGAGCCUUUCUUCCUGCCUUGAAAAGUACCAGGCGAUGUGAAAAUGUGGGUGUCACUGUGAUACGACUCUAUCUCCCUUUUCUGCCAGUCACAGAACCCCACCCCCAUCCCAGGGCCUAGGGCUUCAAAACAGCUUCUGACUGUCACCCAGUUUCCAGAACAGGGCCCCAGGGGUGGCAGUAUGUCGCAGUGGUUAAGAAGGUGGGCUUUGGACUCCAACCUCAAUUCUGCCACUAACGAGCUGUGUGACCUGGGCCAGUUACUUAACCUCUCUGUGCUGCUGUUGCCUCACCUGUAAAAUGGGAAUGAUGCGAGAUACUAAAACCUUGUUAAAGGAAUAGACUUGUUAUUGUUAAAUGAAUUUCUACACACAAAAUACUUAGAAUGGUGCCUGGCAAAAACAAGCCCUCAACCAAUAUUAACUUUCCGAAUUAUUGCCUGGCAUAUAAUAACCCCUCGAUAAUCUCUGCUUCCAGUUUUGUUCCCUCCCAUACAUUCUCCACUCAGUGACCAAAGGGCUUUCUCUGUCACUCCAUGCAGGCUUGCCAAAUAAAAUACAAGAUGCCCAGUUUAAAUUUGAACAGAUGUCUGGUAUUUGCUAAAUCUGGCCACUCUGCUCCCAUGCUUAAAAUUUUUCCCGCUUCCCCAUGACCUUAUAUAAAAUUUAAGCUUUUUAGCAUGACAUUCACGUUCUUUGUGAUUCAGACCCCUGCCCUCUGCAUUUAAUCUCAUCUCCCUAUUUCUUCCCACCCCCAGCCCCCUUGUCUUAUGCUCCAGCUGUCUCCAAUUGCUUUCUUGGAAUCCCAGAGAAUGGAUCUUAGCAUUUUGGAGCGACGAUGAGCUGUUUGUCACAUUUUUAGAUGAGGAAGUUAGGGCCCAGAGAGGUUAAAGACCUGCUGAAAGUCACACAGCUCGAAGGGAGGCUCACAUCAUUCCCCAUCGUUUUGUUAGGACCUCAAACCUUGCUUCUGGAGUUCCCAUUGUGACUCAGUGGGUUAAGAAACCGACAUAGUGUCUGAGGGUGUGGGUUCGAUCCGCGGCCGUGCUCAGUUAAGGAUGCAGCGUUGCUGCAAGCUACGUUGUAGGUUGCAGAUGUGGCUCCGAUCCGGUGUUGGCUUGGCUGUGGUAUAGGCCUCAGCUGCAGCUCUGAUUCAACCCCGAGCCCGGAAACUUCCAUAUGCUGCAGGUACAUCUGUAAAAAGAAAAAAAAAUCAUUGGUUCUGAAACACUGAAAUCCACUCAGGUCAGAGGAGGACCCUUUUGAAACAACGAACAUAUUUGGUUUAAAAAUCCUGGCCUCAGAGGACCAGCCAUGUGCUUCUCCUAGGGUUUAGGGGUGAGGAAGCCUGGAUCUUCCGGCCUGGACCAGUUCCCAGGGGCCAGCCUCAGCAAGCUGUGGUGCCUGAGAGGUUCUGUGCGGCAGAGAGUUUACCUGGAAGUGCUCUGGGCUCAGGUAAGGGGGUCCCUGGGGAAUAGGAGACAUGUGUCUGAGACCCAGGGCUGAGGGAGCAAGGCCCAAUUUGCAGCCAGAAUGGAAACUUAUCUCUCCAAGUCCAGGCAGCUGAGAGUGAGGGCUGGGGGUUAUAAAAUGGGCAGAAUGAUCCUGGCUGCGAAUCAUCCUGCCCAAAAACCUGUGGUGGCCUCAGGGACCACAGAGUAGAGGCCAACAGCACGGGACCGGGGGACAUGUUUCCCGCAGGCCUCCCGGGGCAGGUUUCAGCACUCUGCUGUCACCGCCGGCAUCAGACUUAAAGUGGAUCGGCUUCCCAGCCAGAUCCCUGGAGGCCCUGGCUCUGUUACAGCCUCUCGAUGAAAAUAUCUCCGCUCAGUGCUAAGAACUUGAUCUCAGUAAUUGACUUGUAUAAUGUCCAAAGACUGUGCAUAUAACCAGCUCAAAGCGAUGCAUCAUCUUUAGCAAAAAGAUUUAUCAUGGAAUCUGCGGCAGCUUCUCACUUGUCUGGAGCAGAAAUAGGAACAACUCUCCUUGCCAGGAAUCAUCCUUUGUCUCCAAAGCAAAUUUCUCCAUGGUUGGAGGCUUCCUGGGCCCAGACUGAGGCCAGUGGCCAACUUCCUGGCCAAGGUCCCAGUGUCCCAGUGUCUCCAGCUCAAGAAUCUCAGCCAUAGGCAGCAGGGACAAGGAAGAAAGUGGAGCCCCAGUUUAGGAGCCCCGAGUUCUAGGAGUGACUCUGCCACCACUUGACUUGUGACCUUGGGCAGGUCACUUAGCACCUCACGCUUUUACUGCUCCAUCUGGAAAAUGGAAUUUGUGAUUCCUGCUUAACCAUUACACAGCAGUAAUGGAAGAAUUGUCCAUCGCCUGCUUUGCAGGGAGGCAGUGUGGAAUCAUGUUUCAGAGCCUGGGUUUUGGGAUCUGGGUCAGGUCCCAGCUCUGCUGCUGGCUUAUGUCACAUUGGGUAAGUUUCUCAACCUCCUGAAGCUUUGGUUUUAUAAAGCGGGGAUGCUAAAAGCAUCUACUCCGUGGUCGUGUUGUCAGGAGGAGAAAGAAAGAACGCACAGGAGCCCUUGGGAUGGUGUGGGUGCCAGGCGUGCACUCAAGGACUAGCCGGUGCUCUCAUCUCAACCCAGCCACCUGGGGCACCAGGCUGCAUGAGGGGCCAUGGUGGUCCUUAUAAGACAGACCCAUCCCCCCAUCUCACAUCAUCUCAUUGAGCCGCUCACCACUGUGGGUAAGCAAAUGGAUUUGGAAAGAUUAAGGACUCCCACAAGAUCACCCAACCCGACGGCGGCAAAGAUGACCAUUAAACCCAUUUCUAGCUUUUUCUGGCUUGGAAUAUAGUCAGAGAGAGCAAAGAUGGUCAAAUAAGAGCGCGAUUAACAGUGAGGAUGCAGAAGCUGUGAAAUCUCCCACCUUCGCCACGCAUUAGCUGUGUGGCCACGGACAAGUGACUUACCCUCUCUGAGCCUCAGUGCAGGCAGACUCUAUCCAAGGAGCAUCCUGUGGGCUGAAGGUGAUUAGGCAGGACAGCAGGGUGACAUUGAAGUGCAGCUUUGAAGGACAGAAACGCUGUGACGAGCAGAGCCAAGAAGGAGGAACUUCUAGGUAGAGGAGAUGGUGCAAGGGGAGGGGGGGACACUCAGGAGGAUGCUGGGACCCGUGAGCAUGGCAGCUGGGAACCCACAGGGGGCUACUUCCAUUCAUCCACCCAUGGUAGAGGCAACUUCCUUUUCAUGUCCCUUGCGGAGUUCCUGUCUUGGCUCAGUGGUAACGAACCCGACUGGUAUCCAUGAGGACUUGGGUUCAAUCCUUGGUCUUGCUCAGUGGGUUGAGGAUCCGGUGUUGCCGUGAGCUGUGGUGUAGGUCCCAGACAUGGCUCAGAUCUGGCGUGGCUGUGGCUGUGGUGUAGGCCAGCGGCUCCGGCUCCAAUUCAAUCCCACACCUGGGAACCUCCAUAUGUUGAGGGUGCAACCCUAAAAAAAAAAAAAAAGAGACAGGAGUUCCCAUCGUGGCGCAGUGGUUAACAAAUCCGACUAGGAACCAUGAGGUUGCGGGUUUGGUCCCUGCCCUUGCUCAGUGGGUUAACGAUCUGGCGUUGCCGUGAGCUGUGGUGUAGGUUGCAGACACGGCUGGGAUCCAGCGUUGCUGUGGCUCUAGUGAAGGCCAGAGGCUACAGCUCCGAUUCGACCCUAGCCUGGGAACCUCCAUAUGCCGCGGGAGCGGCCCUAGAAAUGGCAAAAAGACAAAAACAAAAACAAAAAAAGAGAGAGACAAAAAAAAAAAAAAAUUGGAAAAAUAAAAAUCACUUUCUAUGAGCUAGACACUUGAUAAUACUCUCUUUAAUUUUCACAACUGUUCUUCAAAGUAGGUAACGUUAUCCCCUUUCAUAGAGAAGCAGCUGAGGCCCAGAGAAUCUAAACAAGCUCCCCCAGGGGGUCCCAAGUGAGUGACAGAGCCAGGACCCAGAGUCCAGUCUGUCUCCCCAGGAUGCUCCGACUGCCCCGCUGUGCUCACUUCCAACCAGCACCGAAGGAAUACCUGCCUCGGAACCAGCUGCUGCCAGCCAGGGGAGAGUUUUCUAGAAAA
rnacentral:lncRNA from 1 species